UAUAUUAAUUAAUGAUAUUAAAUGGUUUAUACAUGCUGUGUUUUAGGGUUGAGCUAGACUUUCCUAGUAAAGGAUUUUUGAUAACUAUCAGGUUAGGUUGGUCUAAAUAAAUUUACAAUAUUUUAUUUUAUUUUAUCUAUAUGUUAGGCCUUGAUUUUGGUUUUGGUUAUGGAUUUGAGUAUAGUGAGGCUUAUUUCUAGUCUCG
rnacentral:misc_RNA from 1 species